ACGCUCGACACCUACGGGGGCAGCAGUGGGGAAUAUUGCACAAUGGGGGAAACCCUGAUGCAGCGACGCCGCGUGGAGGAAGAAGGUCUUCGGAUUGUAAACUCCUGUCCCAGGGGACGAUAAUGACGGUACCCUGGGAGGAAGCACCGGCUAACUACGUGCUAGCAGCCGCGGUAAUCUGAGCGGGCUGCAAGGC
rnacentral:rRNA from 1 species